rnacentral:rRNA from 1 species
UACGGAGGAUCCAAGCGUUAUCCGGAAUUACUGGGCGUAAAGAGUUGCGUAGGUGGCAGAGUAAGUAGAUAGUGAAAGCGUGUGGCUCAACCAUACAUCCAUUAUCUAAACUGCUCAGCUAGAGGAUGAGAGAGGUUAUUGGAAUUCCCAGUGUAGGAGUGAAAUCCGUAGAUAUUGGGAGGAACACCGAUGGCGUAGGCAGAUAACUGGCUCAUUCCUGACACUAAGGCACGAAAGCGUGGGGAGCAAACGGG